CCAUACUAUGUGUAGUGCCUUAUUCAGGAAGGUGUUACUUAAUAGAUUAAUAUUUGUAAGGCACCCUUCUGAGUAGAGUAAUGUGCAACAUGG
rnacentral:pre_miRNA from 1 species